UACGGAGGGUGCGAGCGUUGUCCGGAAUCACUGGGCGUAAAGGGCGCGUAGGCGGCCUGAUAAGUAGGGGGCGAAAUCCUGCGGCUUAACCGCAGGGCUGCCUUCUAAACUGUCGGGCUAGAGCACGGUAGAGGCAGAUGGAAUUCCCGGUGUAGCGGUGGAAUGCGUAGAGAUCGGGAGGAACAUCAGUGGCGAAGGCGGUCUGCUGGGCCGUUGCUGACGCUGAGGCGCGACAGCGUGGGGAGCAAACAGG
rnacentral:rRNA from 1 species